UGUUCUUUACAUUUCGCCGGCCGACCGUUUAAGUUGAUGAUUCAAUAGUUAACCAGUAUUCGGAAUUAAAUUUAAAUUUAAAAGUCGACACAAGUCGCAUUAGCAUUAGAUUAAGUUUCGUGAGUGAAAAUAAAAGCGAAAGUCGUGUGUGUGAUUCUGUUUAGCGACGGAAUUUCCGAAAUACCCGAAAGGUAAAUAAAUAAUUUGUUCAACUGCCAUGUGCGCAACUGAGUAAAUGUUCCGAUGAAUUUGUAGGCCUAAUUUCGUCAUCGACACAGAAUACGUUCAUGCUGGGUCGUAACUUUAAGUUUAGCAGAGCGGAAUAGAGCGAUCCGGAUGUACACACACACGGACUUUGUAAUUUGAAUUGUUUGAGCAUACGCAGAGGAUACAAGAUAAUUUUGAAGUGUUAUAGACAGUAACACGAGCGACAAUAAAAUUAAAGGAAAACGCAAACUACCGUCUAUUCACUGGUCAAAACCAACUCCUUUGCGGGUGCACGCGUGAAACGAUUUUUCACAUUCUUCAAAAUUAUCUUUACUGGUCAAUGGUCGAA